rnacentral:snRNA from 1 species
AUAAUUGGAACGAUAUAGUGAAGAGUAGCAUGAUUUCUAUUUAAAGAUGACACAUAUAAAUUGAGAAAUGGUCGAAUUUUUU